ACCCGAUAGGACGAACGUUUAAACGUGCUUCAACGCCACUGAUGGAUGAGCCUGCAGCACAUUAUCUAGCUGGGACGGUAAACGGCUACCAAGGCGACGAUGCCUACCCGACCCCACAGGGACAACCGCCACACUGAGACUGAGACACAGCCCACACACCGACGGGUAGAGCACACAGUACGGAAUCCUCACGCAAUGGCACGAAAGCCGUGACCAGAGCAACGCUCGCGUGAAUGAUGAACGCCUCCGCUCUUGUAAAAUUCUGUUAUGAUGGAAGAAUGACUCUAGUAUGAAAUGGCUACAAUGAGACAGUACCCUAUGAGAAAGCCACGGGUAACUCCACGCCACCACCCGCGGGAAUACACAUGUGGCGAGCGCUAUCCGGAAUUAUUGGGCGUAAAGAGCGCGCAGGUGGUUGAAUAAGUCUAAUAUGAAAGCCCACUGGUCAACCGUGAAGGGCCGUAGUAAACUGGUCAACUUUCUGCAGAAGACGAAACUGGAAUACCACGCGUAGCGGCGAAAAGCUUAGAGAUAUGGAGGAACACCAGUGGUGACGGCGGCUUCCUGCUCUGUAACUGACAAUGAUGAGCGAAAACGUGGGGAGCAAACAAGAUUAUAUACCCUGGUAGUCCACGCUGUAAACGAUGAGUACUAAGUGUCGGGGGUCGGACCUCAGCGCUGAAGUUAAGACAUCAAGCAGUACUCCUGGUGAGUACGGUGGCAAGAGUGCAGAUCAAAGGAAUUGAUCGGUGAGCCGCACACGCGGUGGCGCAUGUGUUUUAAUUUAAAGCAAUGCGUAGAACCUUCACCAGGUCUUGCCAUACCAGUGCCUUUCUUAGAGAUGGGAUUUUCCCUUCCCGGACAGUGGAUCCAGGUCGUGCAUGGCCGUCGUCUGCUCGCGUCGUGAGUUGUGAGGUUAAGUCCAGCACCGAGCGCAACCCCAUCCUUUCGUUGCCAUCAUUCAUUGGAGCACUCUAACGAGACUGCCUACUGACAAAGUGGAGGAAGGUGGGGACGACGUCAAAUCAUCAUGCCCCUUAUGUCCUGGGCUACACACGUGCUACAAUGGUCGGUACAAGGGGAAGUGAAGCGAUGACGUGGAGCAAACCUCAUAAAACCAAUCUCAGUUCGGAUUGCAGGCUGCAACUCGCCUACAUGAAGUCGGAAUUGCUAGUAAUCGCGAAUCAGCAUGUGGCGGUGAAUACGUUCCCGGGUCUUGCACACACCGCCCGUCA
rnacentral:rRNA from 1 species